UUUUUUUUUUUUUUUUUUUUUUUUUUGCUGAAUACGCAGGCCUCCUUCCCCCAGGCCAGCCGGCCGGCAGCUAAGUCAGGGGGCUUCUCUCCUCCCCUGACCCCCACACGGUCCCCCCACUCUGGUCCAUGUGCGAGGCUCCCUGUGAGCUCAGCUCUCCCCUGAAAUGGGUUCCUGAGGACGGGCGUUUCCGUCCUCUCCGUGGGCCUCCUUCUGAGCUGGUUCGAAAAGCACAGUCCCGACCCGCAGAUGCAGGAGGCCGUGCAGACACGGACGGCGGGGCGCUGCCGGCGGGUGGUCCUUUCCGCCUUGACCGAACACCUCUGGGUCCAGGGACACUAUUCAGGCCCCAAGAGGCCAUGUAGGGGGACUUCACAGUGAGCAGCCAGGCUGUCGUCGUCCCUGCUGCUGGCCACAGACGCCAAUGGGGGAUGGCAGACGGUGGCUCAGGACUUCGGGGACAGCAGGUAGCCCUAGGAGCCCCGGGCCGCUGCCCGGGAAGGGGUGUCGGAGAGAAACCAGAGCUGGACAGCCUCAAAACUAGAAGCUACCAAGGACUAUUGCAGUAAGGGGUUAAGAGGAAAGCCCACAUGGGCCUCCGUCCCGGGUACGGCAUGGACGGUCGGGGCCUGACGGCCAAGGAGCAGGGAGGGGACCUGGGGGUGGAAGUCUCCUGAGGGCUAAGGGCCAGGCUCUGGCUAAAGCAGCCAGAGAGGAUUCGGGUGACGGCAGGCCAGGGGCCCCACAUCACCUGGGGACGGCCCGGGGAGCUGGACCAGGUGCGCAUGGUGGUCGGACCUCCAGUGCGAGGCUUCUGCUCACGUCGACUUAGGAUUCUUGCUAAGUGGUCGGGGGGGGGGGGGGGGGCUGAGUAGGGUUUGCUCAAUGGGAGGCUCUUUGUCAGGAAGGCGUGGGUUACGGCCUUGGGGACUCUGCCCAGGACGGGAGAAGGCGCUUCUCUGAGCCAGGACGUCUGGCCUGUCACCCCCCGUGCGGGGGCCCAGCGGGGACCGAAUGCCCUCGCUACCUUGAAUCAGCGACCGGACAGACGGUUCCACCUCACUACACCCCUUGUCUCAGUCUUUGCGGUCGGGGUCUUUGGGGCACCAGCGAGACACACAGAGGGAAGGGCCAAGGCCCUGGAGGCCGAGAGCCCGGGGUGGGGGGGGUGCCGCACGUGACCCCUCACAGCCAGGGGGCGCGAACCCCUGCAGGCGGCCCAGGGACCCGUCAGAGAAAGGGCUCGGAGGGUGUGGGCUUCCUACCUCCGUCUCCGCAUGGCCUCGUCUGCGGCAGGUAUUCCGACCUCGUGUGCUUCCGACAGAAGACGUGACCUGACUGUGGGCACCGGCCCAGCUCCCAGACGUCAGAGGCUACGCGUCUCUCCCUAGAAUAUUAGUAAUCGCUUAAAAAAAUAUUUUAUUUAUUUAUUUGAGAGAAAGAAUGAGCUGGGAGAGGGCCAGAGGGAGAGGGAGAAGCAGGCGCCCCUCUGAGCAGGCUCGAUCGCAGGGCCCUGAGUCUGACCUGAGCUGAAGGCCGACGCUUCACCGACCGAGCCGCCCAGGCGCCCCUCAGUAGUAGCUUAAAAGCCGCUGGCUCAGCUCAGCACCACAUUGUGCAUCCAGUCUGUUGGCAGUACUGCCUCCGCGAGUCGCCCUCCCCAGAACUUCGGGUGCCAGUGUCACUCCGUGGUUUCAGCCCCAAGGGUCUCUCUCUUCCGUCUGCUGUUGCACCUGCCCGCAUGGUUUCCUUCACUUAAGGCUGCUUCCCUUCCUUUGUGCCCCAGGAAGCCACACGGGGUGCAGGAAAGGGACUCCCGGCGUCCUUAAAGAGCUGGGAAACCCAGGCUCUCCAGAACCUGCAGGGAGUUAGGGCUGAUGCCCGUGUUUGUGCAGCAAUUGCACGCUGCUUGUGGCAGCAUGUGUCUUGGGGACUGAGUAAGCCGGUGGGCGGCGCGUGGCAGGUAAACACCCAGUGAGGGCAAUCGAAUUUCUAGUUUUUUCCUGGAUGGCCAAGGAUUGUACUUCCAUAAGCAAAGCUUUCCGAAGUCCCAUUUUGCUUUCAUUUCUUAUUUUGCUUUUUAAAAUAAUCACUGCACCCCGACGUGGGGCUCGAAUUCACGACCCCCGAGAUCCAAAGUGGCACGCUCCACUGACUGAGCCGGCCAGGCUCCCUCCGAACAAGCCGUCCUGGAAGCAGGUGUCCGUGGGACUGCUACGUGCCCCCUGCCUUUCUGGCAGGACAGCCUGUCCCCUGCUCACGUGGGGGAAUCGUGAGUCCUGCUGCAAAGUUGUGGGGUGGAGUUCUGGAAACCAAGGAGAGGCACCCCAGCUGGCUGCAUCUGCCCCCCCGGGAGGGCGGCUGUUGGGCCCCGGAGAGCCCCUCUGUGCUGCUGGCGAGGACGCAGCCAGCCGCGGGGUGACCGGGGUGACUGGCCGGCAGCCCCAAGGAAGCGAGCGCCUGGCCCCUGCUCUCCUCCUACUGCUGCCUAUGCCCGAGGACGGGAGGAUGCGACCGAGUCCUGUGCAGAAGAGGCUCCCGCGGCCCAACAGGUGCAGACCCCCGUCCGGGGGGAGCAGAGUGACACCACCAUGAGCUCCCCUUGGCCCUUGUCUCUGUAGGAGUGCCCCCACCCCACGGCUGUGGCCACUUAAAUAUGCGUCUGCUUCUCAUUGUCUUGCACCUUCUAUCUACAAAGUCUGACUGCGAGGGGACAGAUGAGAUCAUAACGGAGGCGAACGUCAAAUCACCGUGAUGUGCACCUGAAACUGAUAAAACGUGUGUCCGGUUAUACCUCGAUGUUUACGAAAGCACAACCGCUUUGUGUCUUCCCAUGACCUCAGGAGGGAGCCUCGGACAAGGGCAAGUGUGGAGCACCUUGUCACAGCUGCUCUGUAACACGCGUGGAGCGCUACACCUGCAGAGGGACCCGAUUUGAGGAGGUGCGGGCAAGUUCGCACGAGCCACGGGUGCCGAAGAAACACGGGGGCGGCCUAAAGCAGCAAGCACUUGGGCUUCCCUCCGGGGCCCGGGGGUCCCCAGCGCUCUGCUUCAGGCUGCCGGUCAGAGGCCGUGUGCCCCACGUGCCCGGGGGAGGGGAACAGUGGAUGCGCUGGCCAGAAACUCCCCAAGGACCGGGGGCGUCGUGCGCCCUGCCAGUCCUGCCCACGCUCCAUGGCCUCAACGAGCCGUGUGGCCAGGCCCAACGUCCGUGGGGCGGGGGGUAGCGCAGCGGUCCCCCACUGCUGCCUCGUGUCCCAGGGUCCUGAGCCCUGUGGCUGCAGCACUGACGACAGCAGAAGGGGUUAAUGCACGCCUGAUGAGGCUCUGGAUUUAUUUAUCUUUUUAAAAUAUUUUAUUUAUUUGUUCAUGAGAGGGGCAGAGACCCAGGCAGAGGGAGAAGCAGGCUCCCGGCGGGGAUCUCGGUGCCACACUCGAUCCCAGGACCCCGGGGUCACGACCCGAGCCGAAGGCAGAUGCUCAACCCCUGAGCCCCGCGGGUGCCCCAAGGCUCAGAAUUUAUAAAUCCAGAGGCAGAUGCUCUGCAUAUCCCAAACCUCGGUGUUAGCGACUCCGGAGAGAGGUUCGAUAGUCGUGUCCUGGAGAAUCUCUUGAGAAGCCAGAAAACGAGGUCCCGCACAGCUUCCCCUCACCUCGCCCCAGGCCCGCCCGGGGGUUCCAGACCCAGGUCCUGGCCCCACGUCCUGGCCCCACCGUGGCCGCGUUGGCCUCAGUUUUGACGCUGUGUUCCUUCCCUCCCCUUGAUCCCAGGCAGCAUACCAGUCCCGAAGGGCGGUUUUCAGAGCCCUUGAGGAGGCAGCCAGAGCAACUGCGGGAGGAUCCAGACGGGGCCUCGGGGAGGGCAGUAGGUGGGGGCUCAGGUAGCGAACCCCAGCUCCCAGCUCCCCCGGUGCGCCUCCGACUGCCUUCUCUCCCGCAUCCCUCUUGCAGAGACCAGAGGUGUUUGCAGAGCAGCCAAGAUACCGUGCAGAGGCCCGGGGUGCCGGAACCCUUGGCGGCAGCCUCCUGGGGGGGCCGACAUCCCCGUGCUGUGCCUCCUUCUGCUUGUGCCUCCAAAAGACCAGAGGAAAAAUUAAAAUAAAUAAAAUAAAAUAAAAUAAAAUAAAAUAAAAUAUAAAAUAAAAAUAAAAUAAAAAUAAAAUAAAAAUAAAAUAAAAAUAAAUAAAAUAAAAAUAAAAAUAAAAUAAAAUAAAAAUAAAAUAAAAUAAAAUAAAAAUAAA
rnacentral:lncRNA from 1 species